rnacentral:rRNA from 1 species
GAUGAACGCUGGCGGCGUGCCUAAUACAUGCAAGUCGAGCGAACAGACGAGGACCUUACUCCUCGGACUUUAGCGACGGACGAGUGAGUAAGACGUGGAGAACAUACCUAUAGUAAUCGGCUAACUUCAGGAAAACAGAGCCAAGACACGGUAAUAAAUUCAACAUGAAGGUUCAAUAGUAAAAGACUAAUUUGCUGUCAAUUAUAGAUGGAUCCGCGCCGCAUUAGAUAGAUGGUAAGGUAACGGCUUACCAAGGCAACGAAGCGUAGCCGACCCGAGAGGGUGAAUGGCCACACGGGAACUGAGACACGGUCCAGACUCUGACGGGAGGCAGCAGUAGGGAAUCUUCCGCAAUGGGCGAAUGCCUGACGGAGCAACGCCGCGUGAGUGAUGAAGGUCUUCGGAUCGUAAAGCUCUGUUAUUAGUGAAGAACAAAUGUGUAAGUAACUAUGCACGUCUUGACGGUACCUAAACAGAAAGCCACGGCUAACUACGUG